AGAUGAUAUGAUGACGAGAAUGUUUCCCUAUUGGUUUGACUGGCCGCCAUGAUGGCCUCGAAUCUGUAUUAGCUCUAUCUGAUCAUCU